AGAUUGAACGCUGGCGGCAUGCCUAACACAUGCAAGUCGAACGGGAGUAGCAAUACUCUAGUGGCGGACGGGUGAGGAAUACGUAGGAAUUUGCCCUUAAGUGGGGGAUAACCCGGGGAAACCCGGAUUAAUACCGCAUGACCUCGAAAGAGCAAAGUGGGGGAUCGCAAGACCUCACGCUUUUGGAGAAGCCUACGUCGGAUUAGCUAGUUGGUGAGGUAAUGGCUCACCAAGGCGACGAUCCGUAACUGGUCUGGAGAGGAUGAUCAGUCACGACCGGAACUGAGACACGGGUCCGACUCCGUACGGG
rnacentral:rRNA from 1 species